rnacentral:rRNA from 1 species
ACGCUAGCUACAGGCUUAACACAUGCAAGUCGAGGGGAAACGGCAUUAAGUGCUUGCACUUUUUGGACGUCGACCGGCGCACGGGUGAGUAACGCGUAUCCAACCUUCCCAUGACUAAGGGAUAACCUGCCGAAAGGCAGACUAAUACCUUAUGGUCUUCACUGACGGCAUCAGAUGUGAAGUAAAGAUUUAUCGGUUAUGGAUGGGGAUGCGUCUGAUUAGCUUGUUGGCGGGGUAACGGCCCACCAAGGCAACGAUCAGUAGGGGUUCUGAGAGGAAGGUCCCCCACAUUGGAACUGAGACACGGUCCAAACUCCUACGGGAGGCAGCAGUGAGGAAUAUUGGUCAAUGGGCGAGAGCCUGAACCAGCCAAGUAGCGUGCAGGAUGACGGCCCUAUGGGUUGUAAACUGCUUUUGUAUGGGGAUAAAGUCAGUUACGUGUGAUUGUUUGCAGGUACCAUACGAAUAAGGACCGGCUAAUUCCGUGCCAGCAGCCGCGGUAAUACGGAAGGUCCGGGCGUUAUCCGGAUUUAUUGGGUUUAAAGGGAGCGUAGGCUGGAGAUUAAGUGUGUUGUGAAAUGUAGACGCUCAACGUCUGACUUGCAGCGCAUACUGGUUUCCUUGAGUACGCACAACGUUGGCGGAAUUCGUCGUGUAGCGGUGAAAUGCUUAGAUAUGACGAAGAACUCCGAUUGCGAAGGCAGCUGACGGGAGCGCAACUGACGCUGAAGCUCGAAGGUGCGGGUAUCGAACAGGAUUAGAUACCCUGGUAGUCCGCACAGUAAACGAUGGAUGCCCGCUGUUGGUACCUGGUAUCAGCGGCUAAGCGAAAGCAUUAAGCAUCCCACCUGGGGAGUACGCCGGCAACGGUGAAACUCAAAGGAAUUGACGGGGGCCCGCACAAGCGGAGGAACAUGUGG